rnacentral:tRNA from 3 species
GGCGCGGUGGCGGAACUGGCAGACGCGCACGACUCAAAAUCGUGUGAGCUUUCGCUCAUGUGGGUUCGACCCCCUCCCGCGCCACUA